rnacentral:rRNA from 1 species
GACGAACGCUGGCGGCGUGCCUAAUACAUGCAAGUCGAACGCUUUUUCUUUCACCGGAGCUUGCUCCACCGAAAGAAAAAGAGUGGCGAACAGGUGAGUAACACGUGGGUAACCUGCCCAUCAGAAGGGGAUAACACUUGGAAACAGGUGCUAAUACCGUAUAACACUAUUCUCCGCAUGGAAGAAAGUUGAAAGGCGCUUUUGCGUCACUGAUGGAUGGACCCGCGGUGCAUUAGCUAGUUGGUGAGGUAACGGCUCACCAAGGCAACGAUGCAUAGCCGACCUGAGAGGGUGAUCGGCCACACUGGGACUGAGACACGGCCCAGACUCCUACGGGAGGCAGCAGUAGGGAAUCUUCGGCAAUGGACGAAAGUCUGACCGAGCAACGCCGCGUGAGUGAAGAAGGUUUUCGGAUCGUAAAACUCUGUUGUUAGAGAAGAACAAGGAUGAGAGUAAAACGUUCAUCCCUUGACGGUAUCUGACCAGAAAGCCACGGCUAACUACGUGCCAGCCGCCGCGGUAA